rnacentral:lncRNA from 1 species
GUUAUUUUAGACAAUGCCUCAGAGUCUCCUUUUAUAGCACUUUUCUUCCCCAAACUCCAGUACAAUGCCCAGAAUAUGGCCCGGAAUUCAAAUCUGGUGCUAUGCUAAAGCCUACUAUAAGUGAUACUUGAUCUUGGAUAUCAAAUGUAGAUCAACGUUUCCUAUUCUUUUCCAACAAAUGUCAAACCCUGAAAGCAGCACCGCACAUGUGACUUGUUUAUACCAGCUUCGCUCUUCAGGUGCUUUCGGAUCCCCAGAAGGUAAGCUCCCCGAGGGCAGGCCGGGCCUGGAGACUUUGCCUUCACUGGCUUCUCACGCGGGGUAAGCACCCGUGCUUGCCCAACAGAUAGUAAGUGCUAACGGAUUUCCUGUAUCUGCAGAAGUAUAUUUACCAGAAAAAAAAAAAAAAAAAAGAGGGAGAGAGAAAAAUUUUAAGUGCAAGUAGAAAAAUAAAGUAACUAUUAGAGGAUGAGAGAACGUGAGUGAAGUCCCCAUUCAGGGAAAUAUGUGCUGAGCGCAUAAAUGAGGUAGGUAGCUGUUUAAAGAGAGAGAGAAGUAGAAAAGUCUGUAACAUGUUUUCUCGUUUCAGAAUUCCCCAACUACAAUAUAUUACUUCAGAAUUUUCUUGAGGGUUUUUCUCUGCACUCUCCAAUUACCCUGUGAGUACCAUCACGAAAGGAUGAAUCUGGCACUUCUGCUUUCUGAAAUAGCCCUGGUACCUCAUGCAGAUGAAAUUCUCUGGCUUUCAGUUUCCAUUUGGUAACAGCCCCAUGCACAUCAAGUCUGACAGGCCGUUUAUGGCUUUUGGCAGCAGAGUGAGGUCUGUGUGCAAGAAUGGCCGAUGAGGGAAACUCUGCAGAAGGAUUUGGAGCAAGAACAGCCUGGCCUCACUGGGAAAGGACAGGAAGCAGAGUGGAUGGAAGAACUUAGCUGUGUGAUGGUGAGUCUUGUGUUAUGUUGGCACAAAGGAGGGCUAUCAGGACACACCUCUCCAAAAUGGUGUGGUAAGAAAGUGAAAUCGGGAACCAAGAGAUGUGUAGCUAUGAUAGGUAUGGUUAUGUGACAGGCACGUUCCUGGAGAGGCAAAGAAUAAGGAAUUGCGUAUCAAUGAACAGACGUCCUGAGUUCAAACUUAAUGCUGUUACUUGCUAAACCCAUGUCUCACUGUCCCCAUCUGUGAAAUGGAAAGAGUAAUAUCAUAGGGUUGUUAGGAGUCACCAAUCGAACAAAACCUGUAAAACACUUAGCACAGUGACCGGUGCAGGGUUAGCAAUAAAAAAUAAAAUAAAACAAAGUUAACUGUUUGUUACUACAGGUACAGAUAUAAAUAUCUCACUCAUCCAGCGUGUUUAAUUAACAUCAGCGGUGUCAUGGGAUUCCAUGUAACUGCAGUGUUCUCUACCUGCAAUAUGCCUCUGAUGGGGCCACUCUGACGAGGAAAAACACAUUUGAGAGAUGUCUCCUGAAUAGAAAUCUUGCUUCAGUUAUACUUUAACAUAAGCAAGAGGGGGUUUUUGUUGUUAGAGGAACUGACUUCCCUACUCUGACCCACUGCCCUGACCUUUCCACUUUCUUUUGUGUGAUUGUGGUUUUAAAUCAACCAGUGUAUUAGGCCCCAGAAUUCGGUUACAACUGAGCUCAGAAAACUAUUUAUUUUUCUUCUAUAGUUUUCUGAAUUAUACUUAUUUCUUCGUUGUCAUGUCUCAUAACUCACAACUUUCUAUGUAUUGAAUUUUGGGCUUUCUCUUUCCCCUUCACCAUAAAGCUACAUACCUGAAAGAUGGCCAGCCUUUCCUCUUUUUUCCCCUUAAUUUUCACUGCAAAACGAAUUCACAUACUUUCUUGACUUUUGUUUUUUGUGUGUGUGAAGUAAACAACUAAAGAGGAAAAACCUCAGGGUGGCUAGGUGGCUCAGUCAUUAAGUGUCUGCUUUCAACUCAGGGCGUGAUCCCAGGGUCCUGGGAUCGAGCCCCACAUCGGGCUCCCUGCUCUGCUAGGAGCCUGCUUCUCCCUCUCCCACUCCCCCUGCUUGUGUUCCCUCUCUCACUGGCGGUCUCUCUGUCAAAUAAAUAAAUAAAAUCUUAAAAAAAAAGAGGGAAAAUCUCUUGUAAACUUUCAUAAUUUUAACGACUCCAUCCUACUUUGCAGGGAUAAUUGAUGCUAACCAUUGGGACUGUGUUCUUCCAAACAGUGUUCUGUGUAUAAUAUAUAAACAUUCAGAUCCUAUAUGCCAGGGAGAAAUUUGCUGUAGAUUUGGCAAGGAUGCCAUUCUGUACAUACUGUUCCACAGCUUGCUUUUUUCCCUGUCUAACCAUGGGCACCUCUCCUAUUGUUAUUGUUACCAUUAUUUGUAAUAAGUCACACUCUUUUAAAUGUAAUUGUAUAUAAUUAUUAACAUAUUCCUUCAGUCACUGAAGUAAUAUUUACUGAUCAUGGAAAUGAGGAAAAGAUGUGUUGCCUGCUAUGUGAAAUGCAAGGUCAUAAGAGACACAGUUUUGUUCCCCUGGAUGGUUAUAAUCUGGAAGCAGAAAUAAGACAAGGACACAUGUAACUACAUAGUAAGUAGUACAGAAUUUGUAAAUUUAAUUUUGGUACUCUGAAGUUCAGAAGAAAGUAAAUUAACUUUUGGAAGGGCUGGUCAGGAAGGGUUUCUAGGAGAUUUUGGAUUUAAAUUGCAUCUGAAAAGAUUGGUUGGAUUUCAACUGAUGUAAAAGAGGCAGAAAAAAUACCUUUCACCGAAUCUCUGAGAAAAGAGAAGAAAAUACAGGAUAUAUUUUAAAGAGGGCCAUAAUCUAGAUGCACUGAUUGUAAAACACCUCCUGAUUUCAGAGAUAUUAAGAAGUGGGGGUAAAUGUACAAAUUAAAUCAAGAAAAUAUAGUAUUUGGUUAAUUUGACUGGAAUGGCAGAUUUCCAAAAGGUAAAACUGAUAGAAAAUUCUGGAAAAAUAAAUGGAAGCCAGAUCACGAGGAGUCUUGAAUGCUAGGGGAAAUCUGAAACCUUGUAUAUAAUUUGCUUCCAGAUUCUUCUUUUCUUCUUAUCACAAGGUAUUAGAAUUUAGAAGGAGACCAGAUACACUAGUCUUAAAACAUAAAAAUCUAUAUUCUGGAGUAUUUAUUCAAAUGAUGCCUUUAAAAUUGUUGGUCCAUUUUGGCAGGCCCUCCCAUUACAGACUGUUUCUUUUUUCCAUAAAGAGAUAAACAUUUUACAUUAAUUUACUCAUGUGCUAGGCACCAAGAUGUCAGUAAUGAACAAGACUCUCUCACCCUCGCAUGCUCAUGGCCUGGUUAAUGAAUUUCCAGUACCAUCUCCCCACUUCCCAGACAUCCAUGUGAGAUUUGGCUGUCCUAUCAAUCGUUAAAAAUAUCCAUCGCCUCUGAUGUCUUGGCCUUGUUUCUUGUUUGUGGUUAUGAUUUCCUGCUUGCUCUGCUGAACUGUGACUUCUUGAAAGCCCCACACCCCUUCUUAACACCUAGGGGACUUUUUUCCCACUGAGCUUUUUUUUUUUUUUUUUUUUUUUUUUUUUUAUUCAAAGCAGAUCUAUUUACAAAUGAGCUUUUAUUUUUUAAAGCAUCUCUGUAAUUAUUCUACUAAAGGAAAGAAUAUUGGUUUUCAGAUUCCCUUGAUGUCAACAAGGACAACUACAAUGAAGGUGAUGAUGGAACGCAGAUGGAGUUAGGAAACCUCUAUUGGGUCUUAGAAUUAGGCAUGAAGCUCAGUAUAGGCAUGAAGCUCAGUAUAGGAUUUUUCAUUUUCUUGAGGAACUGACCCCUUUACUAUGAUGAAAUGUCCCUCUUUAGCCCUGAUAAUAUUCCUUCUUAUGGAAUUUACCUUGUCUGCUGUAAAAUAGCUGUUCGAGUAGCCUCCAAGAUGAUCCCCAAUGAUCCCCACCCCCUGGUAUAGACACUCCUGUAUUGUCCUCUUUCCCAUUGUACCAAAAUGGGUCUGUGUGGCUAAUAAAUUAUGGUAAAAGUAAAGUUAUUUCCCUUCUGGGAUUAGACUAUAAAAGUCUGUGACUUCUCUCAUAGCCCUCUCUCUUACUCUCAGAACACUUCCUCUGAGGGAAGUCAUGUCAUGAGCAGCCCUGUGGAGAAUCCAAGCAGUAAGGAGCUGAAGCCUUCUGCCAACGACCAGUAAGUGGGUUUGGAUGCAGAUUCUGCAGACCCAGCCAAGCGUGAUACCUAGACUGGGGAGACCGUGAACAAGAGCACCCAGCUAAGCCACCCCCAGAUUCCUGAUACACAAAAACUACGAGAUAAAUGUUUGUUGUUUGAAAUGGCUACAUUUGGGGUAAUUUGUUACACAGCAAUGGACAACUUAUACACAAUUUUCCUUUCAUUUGUAUUUCCAUGGUGUUUUUGAGGGUCCCAAGAACCACCCUAAGUUUGAUGAUUGGCCAAAAGGACUCAGAAGACUCAAGAGGAGGUUACAUUCACAGCUAAAGUUUACUAUGGUAAGAGAUAACUGAGUAAAGAAGCAGGGAAGAUAUUGUCACUGGGCAGAGUUCAGACAUGUUCAGUAUAGGCUUGAGAGCCUUUCAACACAGACCACACAUGACGUACUUUCUCCCCAACAGCAACUGAUAAGAGCAUGUAUGGUAUGUGUCUCACAGGGAAUCCUGCUGGAGUCUUGGGUCCAAGGCUUUUUUGGUGUGCUAGUCACAUGAGCAUAUCUUGCUAUGCAACCAUCCAUGGCCACUGAAACUUAAAACCUCAACAGUGAAACUAGGUGCAUAUCAUUAAUUUUGAUAUUCGUGCAAAGCAACUUGACAAGCUAGUCCAGCCCAGCCCAUUGUUCCAGGUGUACACAAACAAAAUCCUCAUCUGAUGUCUAAGGGCCCUAUUCCCAG